rnacentral:rRNA from 1 species
UGGGGAAUAUUGGACAAUGGGCGAAAGCCUGAUCCAGCCAUGCCGCGUGAGUGAUGAAGGCCCUAGGGUUGUAAAGCUCUUUUGUGCGGGAAGAUAAUGACGGUACCGCAAGAAUAAGCCCAGGCUAACUUCGUGCCAGCAGCCGCGGUAAUACGAAGGGGGCUAGCGUUGCUCGGAAUCACUGGGCGUACAGGGUGCGUAGGCGGGUUUCUAAGUCAGGGGUGAAAGCCUGGAGCUCAACUCCAGAACUGCCUUUGAUACUGGAAGUCUUGAGUUCGGGAGAGGUGAGUGGAACUGCGAGUGUAGAGGUGAAAUUCGUAGAUAUUCGCAAGAACACCAGUGGCGAAGGCGGCUCACUGGCCCGAUACUGACGCUGAGGUGCGAAAGCGUGGGGAGCAAACA